ACCAGUCUGUAGGGAGAGGUCUCCAUCGUGGCAGACGCUAGGAUUCUUCAGAGGGGCCGCCUUGGCUUCUCCCUCCCGCCAAGGAAUCGGCCAUCCCUUCAAGGCGACCAGAGGGGGAUCUGUCGAAAGUGGGGGGUCCAGUCCCCCCACCCCUCCCUUCCUGCAAGCUCCAUCCUCUUCCCACCCCAUAAGCCCCUGCCCUGUCCAGACGCAGCAGUUCAAAUCCCGAGAGGAAGAGGGGAGGGGAGAGCCCUUUCAAAAGCCAUUCUCUGUUUCUACAAUCCUACCCAGGAAGCAGACAGAAACCUUUUCCUCUCUCUCUGGCUUCCAUCUUUGUCUUUUCCACUGCCUGGUUCAUUCAGGAUGAGGAUAAUGUACACCUGUCAUCAGAAACAGGGGCGCAGAGUCAAUGGAAUGGCUCUCAGGCUUGAUAUGGAAGUCAAAAGCACUUCUGUUCCUCUUAUUCUUUGUAGGCAGUGUCAGAGUGACUGACAAGCUGAGAUUCUUCCCAGUCAAAGGACCCAUUUUCAUGAUAGACAGUGUCUGUGGCUGGAGGCUCUACAUACAAGGUGUGCCUACACAGGCCAAAGAGUGCCAGUAUUAGCACAGAAUUCCCCAGCCCACCAAGGAUUUGGGACCCAUCAGGUAUCCUCACCUGGUUUAGCCGGCCGGUUGAAACUGUUCCUGGGAUUGUGGCCCUUUUGAAUGCUGACAGCUUCUCUCAGGAUUUCCUUUCCUCCCACUUUGAAGAAGGGGAUGGAGAAGACAUUCAGAAUUCUGAGGGAUGGGGCACUUUGGUUUCAUUAGGUAUAGACAUUUAAAUGUGUGAAAUGUGGAAUAUGCUUCACUGAAUGAGCACACAUAGCUCACAUCAACGACCUCCAACAGGGGAGAAACCAUUGAAAGGUAUGGAGUGUGGGCAAAGUUUCACUGAUAGUGGAAAACUUAGAA